rnacentral:rRNA from 1 species
UACGGGGGGGGUAAGCGUUGUUCGGAAUUACUGGGCGUAAAGGGCUCGUAGGCGGCCAACUAAGUCGAACGUGAAAUCCCCGGGCUCAACCCGGGAACUGCGUCCGAUACUGGAAGGCUUGAAUCCGGGAGAGGGAUGCGGAAUUCCGAGUGUAGAGGUGAAAUUCGUAGAUAUUCGGAGGAACACCAGUGGCGAAGGCGGCUCGCUGGACUGAUACUGACGCUGAGGUGCGAAAGCGUGGGGAGCAAACAGG